GAGGUCUAUCGCGGUGCCAAGCAUGACAAACGCACGAACCGCACCCGGCUGCUGAGGUUUUCGAAAAUCGUGAUUGGAUCCCUGGCGGAUCUCAAGGCGGUUAUCGGUCUGAAGGCGGCCCAUGAUACUUGGAAGGUGGAGGUGGAGCUUCUGAGAAAGUACAGGCCGCAUGGCCAAAACAGGCCACCUGUAAAAUUCCUCCGGCGUAGGGCCAAGGAGGCCGGAAUCACUCUUUUGCCUAAAAAAGUUAGAAAAGUUAAGGUGGAGUGUGAGGGUUGAGGGUUUAGGGUAUAUGGGAUAGUAGGGGGGGGUAUGGGGUAGUACGGGGGGGUAUGGGGUAGUACGGGGGGGGGGGAAUGGGAUCUUUCUGAUUCUGAGUUUCUACGUUGACUUUCUAUCUUGUAUAUAUAAAUCCAUAUAAUAUAUGCUAUCGCCGCCUAUCGUUAGGCUUUUUGUUGUUUGCGUUGAAUUCGUUUUCAUAGCCAUUUUUCCCCCUUAUGUGUUACUUGUAGAUUGGGUCAUAAGUGAUUCAAUUGGACUGGUCUGUUUCUCAUUUAUUUAUAGUUUAGUGUCUCAGAAAGUAUGCCUUUGUAUCCAUGUAAAGGCCUGUUCUUCAGUUGGAAUAACUUUACUGACGCAUUUGUUGGGCACAGCCUUCGGCUUUGGUUGUACUUUCAAACUUAUAGCCAACUGGUCCUCCACUUUGGGGUUUAGAAUAACAUGCAAAGCUCUUUAUCCAACAUACCAGACACUGAUAUUAGUUAUGGAAGUAUUUGCUCAGACUCAACCCUUGUGUUCCUUUAGCAGAGUGCAUUCUAGCUAAUGCUGUUUUAAUUCAGCCUGUGAUGCUUUAAUAGUUCUUUUUGUCUAUAUGUCAUGGUCUGACAGAGUCUGAUCUGUGACUUGAGCAAAACUUCAAGUUUAUUUAUUUGCUUCAAAGCAAUAUGAUCCCUUUUUAUGGCACUUGCUGUCUAGUUGCAUAGGGAAUAAUCAUAUGAUGGGAAUAGUAAUUUUUUUUAUUGCAAGGUCAAAAUGGGUAAUGAAUGUGCAGGCAUUAUGAAAAAUCCUCAUUGAAAUUCAAACGCAGAACUGUGGGUGUCCGUUUGGAUAUUGAAUUUGCAUAUCUUGCAAUUACAAUAUUGGUUUCAUUAAUUUGAGGUCUUUCACAAGAUCAGAUGAGUUUAUCAUCUGGUAAACCUUACGAUGGUAUAGUGUUCUCUUUGAUUGAUCUCUAAUGUCAAUUGUCAAGAUGGCUAGAAUGGUAUAGUUUUUCAUUUUGUAAUAGCUCCUGAUUGUGUUUGUCUUUUGUAGUCUGUGCCCAGGAGCUGAGUAUCUGUUGCAAAUUGUGCAUGAAGCUGUUCCAGGAGCCUAUUUUGAACCCAAUUCUUAUAUAGCAGCAGCAGAUGUUGCUGUUUACAUUCUUAAUCAGCUAUACAGAAAACUCGAUGAAGUUUGUCUUGUGCAAGGGGGUGAGGUUGUGAAGCUAUGUUGGUUGUGUCAAAGAGUUUCUGUACCCAGUUUCUGUGCAUGCCUUGAUUAAGCUUUGCUGAUCCAAAUAAUGCUCUUUCAGGAGGAUGCUUAUCGGAUGUUACUUUACAUAUUUACUGGGAGUCUACUGCCUUAUGUUGAGGGUCUUGAUUCUUGGCUUUUUGAAGGGACUCUCGACGACCCUUUUGAGGAGGUAAUACUUCAUGAAAGUUGUAUUGUGUAUCUCUUGGUUGGAGCAUGCUGUUACGAAAAUGGUCAAGUUAUGAUACUUGUUUGGUGCUUGUUUUUCACAAUUAAUGACUCAAUACUCAAAACUUGAUUUGCCUAUUGUAUUGUGACCUUCUUUGAAUCAGUUUGAACUGUAUUCAAUUUUGUGAUAAGGAUAAAUGAGCAGUCAAAGAGUCAGCAAAUCUGUGUAGGUAGUCCUGCAACAUUUCUCUUAGGCAAAACAUGACUUUCAUCAUUUCUUUAUAAAGCAGGCAUUUUGACUCAGUCUCCACUGUAUACUUGUGUAUUUGGUCAUAAUCUGCCUUUUUUGAUCAUUCUGUUUUUGCCAGAUGUUCUUUUAUGCUAACAAAGGAAUUGCAAUUGAUGAGACUGAGUUUUGGGAGAAGAGCUAUCUGCUAAGGACAGCAAAAAUUAAAAACCUGGAGAUCGGUUCCUCAUCUGAUGUUUUACUAAAAGACAAAAAAGAUAUUACUGGAAGAGAGUCGAUUUCUACGAGAGAAAAAGAGGGGGGGGAGAUAGAACAUCAUGUUUGUCCUUUGUUCAUUAAGGACAUGGGUAAGGCAAUUGUUUCUGCUGGGAAGUCCUUGCAGCUUAUACGACAUGCACCUUUGCCAUCACUUUCAGAUGUACCUGCCGAUAACCAUGAGAUUAGGCAGUGUAUAGCUGGUUUGACUUUAUCAGAGGUCCUUUGCGUGUCAUUGGCGGCACUGAUUGGUCAUAGCGAUCACAUAUCUGAAUAUGUUUGGCGUGAUAAUUUGAUUGUUUCUUCAUUUGAAUCUUCUGUGGGAAAGGAGAAAGAAGAGAGAAAUGGCGAGAUUUUACCAUUUAUAUCAUCAGAUAAGGUCUGGUAUAAAAUCUUGGCCAAUGUAUUGGGGCAGAAAAGAGAGAUUGUUUCAGGAUCUACACAUAUAGAUACUGAUGUCUUUAGCUUACAGAAAGAAAAACUAGGUCCUGAUGGAGUUGAUGAUGUUCCUUGUGUUGGAACAUAUUGUCCUCAAAAUCCUGCUAUAACUGUUUGUCAGAGAUUUCUUUACGGGAAUAAGGAUGCUCAGAGUGCAUUAAGUUUGUCUAGAAAUUUGUAUCUUCCUCCUUUAGAUGAUAAGGAAUUAAGAAAGGCUGUAUUUUACAAAAAUAGUGGAUCUUGUUCUGAGGAAAAAAGCACAGAUUUUACUUUUGGCUUUUGGUUUGAUGAAUCUGAAUAUGUUCGUAGACAGGAAGAAACAAAAAUGUUAGAGAUGCUAUUUCCAUUUAUGACUUUGCUUCCAUCUUUUCAGGUAUAGCUAUUUUGUUAGUACUAUGUUUGUCACAGUAGUUUUUAGAACAUUUGAAAUCUGAGCAAUUCUUUCUGUGGCGGAACAGGAGGACCUUCACAUGUCAGAGUUUUUGCCAUUUGAGAAAAAUAGUACCCUUCCAUCAAGAAUUCUAAGUUGGAUGCAGAGUGCUGAACCAAAGGUUACCCCACUUCCUGUUGUUAUUCUACAGGAAUGCCUUAUUGCCUACAUCAAGAAACAGGUGGACUGCACAAUUAUUUUUGGUUUUCGGUGUCUUAUUUGUUGCCUACAUUCUUAAGGCUGAAUUAUAUUUAGAAGUUAUUUUCAUUAAUCUACAGGCAGAUUAUAUUGGUAGGAUUAUAUUGUCAAAGCUACUAUAUGACUGGAGAUUGCUGGAUGAGCUAGAAGUAUUACGCGCCAUAUAUUUGUUAGGUUCAGGUAUUCUAGGAUAUUGGUCAAACGGAUACUUCUAGCAAUCUUGGGUGUUAUCAGAAAAUACCAUUCAUUGAUUGAAAGCUUGAAACCUUUUUAUUACAGGGGAUCUUCUGCAACAUUUUUUGGUAGUGAUUUUUAACAAGUUAGAUAAAGGAGAAUCGUUAGAUGAUGAUUUUGAGUUGAACACCAUAUUGCAGGUGCACAUGCUGAACCUUUAACCAUAUUUGUACUAUUGUGCUGUACUAUCCUGAUUUUACAUUUCUUCCUUCCCAUGAAUGAUCUAUAUUUGUCAUGCUAUAAUGUUCAUUGGAAGCCUGUUCUCUUUUUCUGAAUGAGGGAAACUGGUUAGUUAUCUCUUUUUUUGUUGGUGCAUUUUUCUUCAAAUUAUCUUCACAGGUUGGUGUUUUAAUACCACUUAACCGAUAAUGGGACUAGCAAGUGACCGUGUUUGCUUGGUGAGGGUGAAUAUACAGUUAGUGCCUCAAUAAUGACAAUGCUUAUGUUUACUUCAGGAAUCUAUUAGAAGCUCUGCUGAUGGCUCACUUCUGAGCACACCUGAUUCAUUGGUUGUGUCCAUCACAAAAAACUCUGAUUUAAGUGAGGAUGAACAACAUGGUGCAUCUAUCCAAAUCUCAACUCCUCGCAAAAGUCGACUACAGACCAUGGGAAUUGAUGUCCUUCAGUCACUAAAUUUUACAUACAAGGUAGGCAGUAUGAUUUAUAUGCAUGCUUCUGCUUUCAAGAGGUGCCUGCUGUUUGCGAGCUGUCAAGCACUUCAACUUCAUUUACCUUGAAUAAUACCUUGUUGAUGAACAUCUUAAGUGCACAUGUUUCUUGAAUAUACAGGUCUCCUGGCCACUUGAACUUCUAGCUAAUGUAGAGGCACUAAAGAAGUAUAACCAGGUACCUAAUUGGCUUCAUAUGGACAAAUUGUAAUUAGUCUUGCACUGUAAUUCUUCUGAACAUAUGGUACAGGUCAUGAUUUUCCUGUUAAAGGUCAAGCGUGCAAAAUUUGUUCUUGAUAAGGCUCGGAGGUGGAUGUGGAAGGUUCCUGAUUUUUUACUCUCUUUUGCUUUCAUCAUGUUGCAGCAGUGAAAUUUUGUAUUGCUAAACAAAAAUUUCAUGGCUUAUGAAAGGUAUUCUUUAGAUCACUGAUUCGAUACUUUGCCUCUCUCAGGAUAGAAGCACUGCUACAACUACUCGCAAACGCCAUUGGUUAUUGGAGCAAAAAUUACUGCAUUUUGUCAAUGCCUUUCACCAGUAUGUGAUGGACAGGGUAAUGUAUUUUACCGCCUUGUUUAGUACGUUAACAACUUUUAGGGUUUGGUUCUUGUAUUACUUGCAUAUAAAGAUGGACAGGGCUUUCAUAUUUGUAGGUGGUUAUGUGAUAGAGGGUUCUUAGACUAAUUUUUUUUCAAAUAAAUUAGAACAAGCUAAUCUAAACUUGCUUGCCUCUUUUGCGUGUAUAAAAUUUAACUACCAAAGAUAUAUUCUCUAAGAAGAUUCACUUGAAUUUUGGAUGAUCUUCAUUCAAAUUAAAUUGUGUAAAUGCAGCUAGGUUUAUUUGGCAAUACAAGUACGCUACAUGCAAGGUUGAGAGUAUCAAUGCGUAUCUUCUUUGAAGAGAAAUUUUGGUUUCUUGCACUUCUUACACGAAGGCUGUGUGCAGGUAUAUCACAGUGCAUGGCGUGAACUCUGUGAAGGUGUUGCAGCAGCUAGGUCUUUGGAUGAAGUCAUUGAAGUGCAUGAAUCCUAUCUUUUGUCAAUUCAGACACAGUGCUUUGUUGUUCCUGACAAGCUGGUCCAUAACUGCCUCCAAUAACUUUGCUUUUGCCUACCCUUAUUUUUCCUUUCUAUUGGACGUUUUGUUAAGAAACUAAUAAGAUAAAUUGUGUUAACAUUUUUGAUGAUUAUUGUUUCAUUACUAGUGGGCAUUGAUAGCCAGCCGAAUCAACAAUAUCCUUGGACUUGCUUUGGACUUCUAUUCCAUACAGCAGACUCUAAGCAGUGGUGGAGCAGUGUCUGCCAUAAAGACAAGAUGCGAAAUGGAAGUAGAUCGGAUAGAGAGACAGUUCGAUGAAUGCAUAGCUUUCCUUCUCAGGGUAUUCCUUCUCUAUCCUUUUGUUGGUUUUGAUGCAUAUGCUAAGAAAAUUUAUGUCCAUGCGCUAGUGGAUUGAAGUGUAAAUCCACUGUUGUGUAGUAGCAUGGAUAAUGGAAAAACUGCGGUUAAUCUUGGUUAUAGUUUUGAUAUUCUCCAGCUUAGGAGAAAAGGAUUUCAUCAUCUUUGUCACUACGUUGCAGAUUCUAUCUUUCAAGCUGAACGUGGGGCAGUUUCCUCAUUUAGCAGAUUUGGUUACGAGAAUUAAUUACAAUUAUUUCUACAUGUCUGAUAGUGGAAGCCUGAUGACAACUUCGGGCUCGGAUGUUAUUACUUCAAGAUAGGGUCGUCCAAGUCAAGAUGGACUGGGUUAUUGCUCUGUGUGGUAUAAAAUCAACAGAAAAACAAAAAAUUGAUGUCUUUCAGCAUGGUGUGAUAGUUGAAUGAGGAAUUUAGGUAUCUCUGCAUCCUGAUAAGCUCCUAAUGCAGAAGCUGCAAGUUGAUAAAUUGAAGUUGGGUUGCUUUGCUUACCGCAUCUUGAAGCGCUUGAGAUUGGAGGAUCAUGUAUUUAAGACAGCACGCAUACUUUGUUUGAAGGAAGAUAGCAGGUAUACUUGUUUGAUAGAUUUUUAAUGUCGUAGAUUGGCUUCCCUAGUUGAUUGAACAAAUAUUUAUCAUCGUUUCAGGACUUCUGCAUUCUCCUACUGCUGAUGAUAUUACUAUUAGAGAUGAAAAUAUCAUUGGUUUAGCCGCUUGGUUGUUGUGAUUACAAUUUAUAUGCUGUCAUACGUGUGAUGUUUUGUAAGUGCGGCGUUGCAGUCAAUUUACAGAUUGGUUUUAACAAUAAUUUUUCCACAAUUAUAUCAAUGUAUGUUGCAAUUUUGUUGGCUAUAGAUUUGAUUGUGACAUAACCAGUUUGCUGUGUUUUAUAUUGAAAUUUACAGCACAUCAUCACCUGCCAAAAUACUCUACCCCGCGACUGGAGCAAAAACAAGACAAUGUCAUCAUUAUCAUGCCAAGUUCAACUCGAAGCUGGAAACCCUACCCCCCGAAAACUAAUAUACUUGUUGAGAGAGUUGACAGGAUCAGUCCUGAACUAGAGGAUUCAAUACCGCUCCAGUAAACAGCACUGACCUGGAGCUCUCUUCCUUAUCAUGAACAUGAAAGGAUGUUCAGCCACAAAUCUCGUCUCAUCAUCUAAUGAGCAACCAAGUAAUCACACGCAACAGUAACAGCUGCUGCUUCCGUGCCUACCUCAUCUACCUCUAUAAAAGCUUUUUGAACUAUCUCAGAGACAUAAAAUGGAAAUCCGUUGGUGUCUAUGAACCCGGUUAGCUCUUUACAGUCCUACAUAAAUGGUAACUUUAGCACCAUAUCUUCCAUGGUUUGUCGCCCUUUAGAAGUAUGGAAUGCAAACUUAGACUUUGGAAUCCAGAAAGUAUCAUAUCCCCCGUACUUGAGCUGAAAAUCUUGUGUAAAGAAUCCCGAAUCAAGAGUUGUCUGUUCCAAUAGAUUAUGCAAUCCAUCUCUCUCAUUUGGAAGGAAAAUGAACAAGGAGAAUACUUUUCCUCUCUGAUAUGGAAUACUAACAACCUCAAAACCUUCGUAUGAUCCAUGAGUGAGUAUAUGCUUCGCAACCAGUCAUGAAGGGUACUGAAACUGUGUCCCCAUUUAAAAGGUAAAAGUCUCCGUUCGCGGUUUCCUCUGCGUUAAACUUUUCCUCCCACGAACCUUUGAAGUACAGUGUAGUUCCAAGAAUGAGCAUGGUAGCUGGAGUGAUGUUGGCAGGCGUGAGAACGUCGGUCACGAGCCCUUUGGUUGCUGAUUUUGCCCAUGCAUUCACAAUUUCAACAACUUUAUCACCCCACGGAUGAAUCAAUACAUACAUAAUAUCUAUGAAAUAAAACAAUAAACUUAUAUUUGAGCCUAAUCGGGCUGCAUAUGUACAACUCCUUUACAAUUCCGAAUUCAAUUCCGUACUUUAAUCCAACAUUAAUGCUAAUCCGAAUUUGAGAUCAAAAUCAUUCAAAAUCGAAUUCAAAUUAAGCCCUUAAUGAACUGAGUCCGAAUGUUUCGUUAGGGCUCGAUUGUCCCAUGGACUAUGGGCUUCUGUCUCAAAACAGCAUUCAAGAUGCAUGAUGCAUUUUUGAAAAAAAAGAUUCACGAUACACGAUUGCAACGACAUUAGGAAAUUUCACAAUUAUAUAUUUCUUUCUAAUACGAGGUUAAGAAAUCACCUAAAUCAACAGUAGCCUAAGCAGAUUUUGUGUCCAUAAAGCCAAGUGAAUUCCAGAACAAAAGAAAAAUAAUCAACAUACCUGGUUAACAAAGUCCACGUUCUUGGCUUGGGCUUUAUAAACUCUCUCAACGAGUCUUUGAUACGAUGGUUUUAGAGGGUAUUGUUUGUCUGCCCACAGUCCGUUCGCCAGACAGAUAACAGGACCACCACCAUGAUUGCCAUUGGUGGUGUUGUGAUCAUCAGUUGAUGAUGAUGCAAUGCUCGUCAAGUUUUUUAACUUUGAAUUGACAUGAUCAAGGUUGUUGCAUUCAAGAACUUGGACAUCUGGUACAAGGUCAAUCCAGUCGAUCCUGCAGCAAUCAUGCUGAGUACAGCAUUGAAUGAUAGCGGGGAUAGCACCAUAUUCUUCCUGCAACCAUCUUCGAUCUCGUUGAUCAGAAGAUGGCCCGUCGUCUUGGCACAAAAUUCCAUUGUUAUUAUUUUUUUCAAUUGACUCACAGUUUCCGAAUCCACGAAUGGAAUCAACUUACAACUUCGGCUUUGGACUUGGAACUUGCUUCACCUCUUCAACCGAUGUAUUACUGAAAAGAAACAAGACUAAACAAUAUAGAAACUAGUACUACUAAUUAGCAAAUAACAUGUACUAAUAAAAGACUUGAUUUAAUUUCCAUACUGGGGGAUGGAGGGGCCCUUGGGGACAUUAUUUCGGUAGAUUGAUCUUCCCAUGCGCAAGAACAGAAGUCUCAUUGUUACAGCAAUAGUACAAACACCAGAUGACCAAUCCCAUCCCUGAUUUGCACUUAUCCAUACUAAAAAAGUGACCCCAAGCAUUGCUCCAGUAGUGAUGGAGAAUAACAACCAGUUGAAGAAGCUGGCAAGUUUAGGUGCCUCCAGAGGGUUCCUUUCAUCAAAUUGGUCGGCUCCCAGGGAUGGCAAUGCUGCUUUUACUCCGCUGUUGCCAAACGCGAACAAAUAGAGACCUGCAAAUAAGAGGGCUUCUUGGCUUCUGGUUAUUGCCUCGCAUUGAGUCGACUUCAGCGUGGCUGCAUCCUUGCAGGGAAGUGGUCUUAGUUGUGGAAAAUGUGCUUGCACCGUCGGGACAGCAAGUCCCUGAAAAAGUCAUAAUAAUAUGCUCAGCCAACAUCUUUUAAGAGAUUUCACGUUUUGCCCACUUAAAUAAAUAGAAAAAAUAAAACAUUAUGCCUACUCGCGUUUUUCCCUCGUUUUGGACACUACAGCUCCUAUGAGUAUGCAUCGCUUUCGCAUGGGUCGGACAAGGCCACGUGGGGAUUAGGUUUAUUUGCGUAAAAUUUUUAUUUUCGUAAGAAAAUGUCAGAAAGAAACUCAUUUUCAGGGGCUUGGGGAUCUUUAUCUCUUAGCAGCGGGGCACCCUGUGGGGUUUCUAUCCCACAUCGGUAUUGGGGGGUUGGGGUUUGGGUAGAUAAGUCCCUCACAGGACUCCAAAAGUUGCCGGCUUUUGGAGUUACUGUGGGGAUUAGGUUUAUUUGCGUAAAAUUCUUACUUUUGUAAGAAAAUGUCAGAAAGACAAGGGGCACGGACGGUUGCAGGUACAACCGUCCCCAACGGUAUUGGCCAUUUUCAACAGCGCGUAACUUCGGUUGCACACGACGUAACUUUGUUUGUACAAUAUAUAACUUUAGUAUUAAAUUUUGCGAGUCCCACACAUGAUAUUAAAAUAGAUGCACAACUUGUGAUCUAGAUGCAUAAUUUGUUGGGGCCAAAUCAUGGCCAUUAACAGCUCAGGAGCGGUCAUGGUGUACUAUCAAACUAUGUGGACGUGUGUAAGUAGCAAUUAAGAUGACUUUGAAAUUGUUACGCAACUCAUAUUUUUGUACCAUCAAAUUUAAUGCACUACACUAGUCUAUCAUUUGCUUAUUUUGUCUUGGAAUGAAAAAUCUCCUGGAGCUAGUCAGUCUAGUCAGUGGUGGAGCCAGAAAAAAUUUUUAAUUGGGGCAAAAGUAACACUAAAAUUUUUUUCCUCCUCUUUUAUUAGUUUUUUAAGUAAAAAAAAUAUUCACCAAUAAGUUAAAAUGAAAAAAAAAAUUGAACUUAUUUCAAAUGGAAUAUUGUGAUCCACAUAUUCUUUUAGAAUAUUAGUUCAUGAACCAAUUUAAAAGAUCAUGUAAUUCUUUCAUUUAUUACAUAAAAAAAACUUUGGAGACACAAUUAAGAUAAAAUCAAAAUUUUAUGCAUAUUGUAGGAAUUUAAGGGGAGCAGUGGGGGCUCGUGCCCCCACCUUAAAUCCGCCAGUGGUCUAGUUGUGUUUAUUUUGCCUAAUAAGUAGAAUGUACUAAUUGUUUAGAUUAUUUUCAUUUCCAUAUUUAUCAGAUUUCCAAGGUGUUGCCAAUCUUUAAAAAUCCGGCAUACCUUUGAGUUUGGAUAACACUUUUUUAAAUGUAAUAUAUACAGAGAUAAAAAAAUAAUUAAAAAAUAUAUUGAUGAUAUAAGUAAAUAAGUAUAUUAUGUAAAUAAUGUGUAAACAAGGUAUAAUCCAAACACAAAACUGUAGCAAUGCAUCUAGACUAGUGGAUGGAAGUUGAACAGUCGAUGUGCAAUAUAUUAGACUAGUGUAUGGCCUUUCUCAUCGAAUAAAAUGAACUACUAUUAUGCUAAAAAGGCGGAGACAUAUAGGCUUUUAUUCCCGUGGAAAUACAAGAGAUCUACAAGAUUGGCUCAAAAGCAAACAAAUACAUAAUAAUUGAAUAGGGGAUUUUUUUUUUUUUUUUUUUUUUUCCUGAGAGAUGGAAUAGAGGGUUACUACGUGAUUUAGUGUCAAAGCGACGACUUUCGAUAAAAGAAGAAAAGUGGAGGACAACAGCGAGUAGCUUGGGAUCACCUAGAUCAAUGAUGAAAUUAUUGGAUUCAACAAAUAUAACUACUACUAAUUAAAAGCAAACAUCACUAAUGGUAGUGUAUAAUUUUCAAACCAUAAUUGAAAAAGAAGACAGAAAGGGCCAAAACAAAAAAAAUGGUCUUAUACCGGGAAUACGAUUUUGCUGCAAUUGGUUGCUUCCACAACCUCAAAUCCUUAGCAAUUAUUUCUUCUAGUAAUUACCAAGACAUUAGUUCAAAUAUAAAACCCUGGUGUUCUCUCUUCAUUUAUUUAUUUUUCAAUAGAGAGGCAGACAGUCUAAGCUGGCAAAGCAGUGACAUAAUCUGCAGCAAGAUCCUAUUUUAAGUUACAAUUAGUACCCUCCUCUCUGUCCUCAACCUUUCGUCGCCGUCGGAACCCUAACUUGAGAACAAUAUCAAGCAUACUCAACAUGGCCGCUCUGCCAAAAUCAACGAGGGUCCUGCGCGCUUAUAGGAUUGCCAAGAACACUGCCAAGGAGGCUCGCGAGGUCUAUCGCGGUGCCAAGCAUGACAAACGCACGAACCGCACCCGGCUGCUGAGGUUUUCGAAAAUCGUGAUUGGAUCCCUGGCGGAUCUCAAGGCGGUUAUCGGUCUGAAGGCGGCCCAUGAUACUUGGAAGGUGGAGGUGGAGCUUCUGAGAAAGUACAGGCCGCAUGGCCAAAACAGGCCACCUGUAAAAUUCCUCCGGCGUAGGGCCAAGGAGGCCGGAAUCACUCUUUUGCCUAAAAAAGUUAGAAAAGUUAAGGUGGAGUGUGAGGGUUGAGGGUUUAGGGUAUAUGGGAUAGUAGGGGGGGGUAUGGGGUAGUACGGGG
rnacentral:lncRNA from 1 species